rnacentral:rRNA from 1 species
UACGGAGGGUGCGAGCGUUAAUCGGAAUUACUGGGCGUAAAGCGUGCGUAGGUGGCUCGUUAAGUCAGAUGUGAAAGCCCUGGGCUCAACCUGGGAACUGCAUUUGAAACUGGUGAGCUAGAGUUGAGUAGAGGGGAGUGGAAUUUCAGGUGUAGCGGUGAAAUGCGUAGAUAUCUGAAGGAACACCAGUGGCGAAGGCGGCUCCCUGGACUCAAACUGACGCUGAGGUACGAAAGCGUGGGUAGCAAACAGG